AUUGAACGCUGGCGGCAUGCCUUACACAUGCAAGUCGAACGGCAGCGGACCUUCGGGUGCCGGCGAGUGGCGAACGGGUGAGUAAUAUAUCGGAACGUACCUUUCAGUGGGGGAUAACGUAGCGAAAGUUACGCUAAUACCGCAUAUUCUGUGAGCAGGAAAGCAGGGGAUCGCAAGACCUUGCGCUGAUUGAGCGGCCGAUAUCAGAUUAGCUAGUUGGUGAGGUAAAGGCUCACCAAGGCGACGAUCUGUAGCGGGUCUGAGAGGAUGAUCCGCCACACUGGAACUGAGACACGGUCCAGACUCCUACGGGAGGCAGCAGUGGGGAAUUUUGGACAAUGGGCGCAAGCCUGAUCCAGCCAUGCCGCGCGAGUGAAGAAGGCCUCGG
rnacentral:rRNA from 1 species